UUCAGAGAACGGCGUAGA
rnacentral:snRNA from 1 species